rnacentral:lncRNA from 1 species
CUGCCUAGAUCUGGGAAGAGUCGGGUCUCCCAGGACUCCUGCAGGGUGGCAGGAGUUCUUGGAGGCAGCAUGAGGACGCUGGUCAGAGUGUGGCCCGCUCCAGGUGCCAGAAGCAAGUCGUUCCCCUUCGGCUGUGGCCCAGGAGCCUCAAGGCCAUGGGCCUGCCUAGGGAGUGCCAGAGGGACGCCCUUCUCUGCUGUCUCUGCCACGUUUGCGUGCUCUCCAGCUGACUCAAGGAGGAAGCAGAACAAGAAUCACUCCUGUGGACCAGUGUCGGGGCCAAAAAUUCCUUAGGGUGUUCCUAAUGGGAAAAUCUCAAGUCUCAACACCAGCGCAGAAAUUCUGAUUUCUCUUCUGGAAGCCUCCCAGGAUGACCUCUCCAGCUCACCGACACUCACUAAGCCCCACUUUGGCAAAUGGAAAUUUGUGUUCAUUUCCCGUUCCUGGAGAGUCUGAAAAGCGAUUGUUGCGUAUCGAUCCCACAACUUGCCUCGGUUUUAUGGACGAAAACAGGCAUUGGCCAUCGUCAGCCCUCCUUAGGAUUAUUAGACGUUCACAGGAGUCAAUAUAUGUAAAAGCAGCCGCAGAUGAGCGUUAUUCAUUAACUCCGUGGAGUUUCACAACCGGGAGAGAUUACGCUGCAGCCACGUGUGUGAUGGGCUGCAGUAGACCUGGCUGGAGUCCUGAAAGGCCAGGCAAGAGGCAGGAAGGGGCCCAGGGAAGAAGCACAGGGUCCCUGAAGGGCUGUGGUGCUGAGGAGGGAGCCCAGCAGGACUGUCCAGUAGCUCUCUCCUCGGGG